AACUGUCAUUUAAAGUUAAAAAACAAAACUAAUGCUCUCUCAAUGCCGCCGCUCACCCCCAAUGUUCCAAACGUCGUCUAAAACCUAACCCUCAUUUUAACUCUCACGUUGUCAUCUCCCCCCAACCGAACACGAGCUCCAUUCAUGGCCGCCUCCCUAUCUCAAUACUCUGCUCGCACCACCACCAACCUCCUCCUUCUCUACCUCCCCAAAUAAUAACAAGCCUCCACCGUCUUUCUCCUUCGACACAUAUACUCCAACCUUAGCAGUUCUUUUUUCUGAUUUUCUUUCAAGUUUUAACCUUUCCUCUUUCAGAAUUUCCCCUAAUCCUUAGUCUCAUAUUUCUUUAGUAUCAUAUUGCCACUUUACCGACUAGUGGCAACUCUCAUGGCCGCGGAUUUUUGGGUUUGUUGAGUUCGGGUGUGUUAAUGGGUUUCUUGAAUUUCUAGGUUUAUUAAGUUGAAUCCAGGUUGAAUUUUUGGGUUUUGUAUGAAGAUGUUCAUGGCUUUUGUUUGAAGAUGUUCCUCGAUCGAUUUUCAUGGAUUGAUUUUCUGGGUUAUGUUUGAAGGUUUUCUAAGUUAGAGUGUUGAGUGAUUAUUCUGUGUCUGGGUUUGAAAACUACUAAGGUUAGGUAUAAGAACCUCUUUCUUCGCUUUCUCCAUUUUUGUUUAUGUUUUAUUCUUUCCUCUAUUUUCCUCUCCCACUAACGCCUAUUUACCCUUGUUAAAGUAUUUUUCUUUAUUUCCACCCAUAGCAACUAGCAAGCAAUUGCCAAUCAUUCUCGAUUUUCUGUUUAGCAGCUGCGUCUCGCAUUCUCUCCUUAAAUCCUCUUCAACAUCCUCUUAUUUAUAGAGAGAGAAUUAAUAAAGAAUUACUAAUUAUUUGAGAUUUUAGGGCGGCGCAGUUCAACUAAAGAGAGGCAAUAUGGAAGUGCAAAUGAAAAAUUCAUGAAGAAUGAAGGGUUCCAAAAAAGAAAAACCCCAAGUUGAGCAAAUCUCAGGAAAGAAAAUUGAAGAAAUUGGAGCAGGAGAAGGAGAAAGCAUUUUUACUAGCAAAAAGCAUUGAGACCUUGGAGUAAGUC